UACGUAGGGUGCAAGCGUUGUCCGGAAUUAUUGGGCGUAAAGAGCUCGUAGGCGGUCUGUCGCGUCGGAUGUGAAAAUCCAGGGCUCAACCCUGGACCUGCAUUCGAUACGGGCAGACUAGAGUUCGGUAGGGGAGACUGGAAUUCCUGGUGUAGCGGUGAAAUGCGCAGAUAUCAGGAGGAACACCAAUGGCGAAGGCAGCUCGCUGGGACGGUACUGACGCUGAGGCACGAAGGUCAGGGAGCAAACGGG
rnacentral:rRNA from 1 species